rnacentral:lncRNA from 1 species
CAAGGGGUUAUCAGGAAAUACGAAAGAAAGGCCCACAUGUCAGGAUUACAUUGAGAUAUCAACGCACCGCGCAAUUUUGUACCAUCUAGAAGACUCCAGAAGCCACGGGAAGAAAGCAGAGGCCGAAAGGGGCCAGGCCAGGGCGUCCGCCCUCCUUCCCUAGGCGCCCGCCCUGACCUGGACUCUGUUCGGGACUCUCUUCGCACACGAUGUUCCACCGACCUAAAGGAUCAAGGACAACAUAGUACCACAUCGCCUACCAACCCAAAAACGCAUAGAGGAGGAGGACUAUAUAAGGAGACCCCCUGGCCCCUGGAGAAGACAUGAAGUUAUCAUAGAGUUGAGGGGUGCCCUCAAAGGAAAACCUCUUCUCUAAAUAAUAUUUCUUUUUAGGCUUAGCAACCAAUGUAAGUAGAAAUAGAUCUUCUAGUUUCUACUUGAUUGAGAGAGAUAGAGUGGAGGUGUAGAUCGGAGGAAUGCCGGCCUGUCGGUGUCUACUCCGAGUUGUACCUGCAGGAUCAAGUCUUCUAACCCGAGGCUUGCUCCCA